rfam:Pseudomonas sp. TRMO17WK12:I11 isolate Yellow genome assembly, chromosome: 1
CAGCCUGGCCUGGAGUAUUCCAAAUCUGUUUAAAAAACGAUCAAUUUUGCCUGGCAUUGUGCGUAGCCUGGGCAAUACUCAAGGGGUCGGCGCGGCGCAUCCCCCCGAGUGACGCGGCGAUAAAGGUACUCAGGGACCGCGUACCUUUGUUCUACUCCUAAUGGUCUUAACCCGGAUUCCCCCCCAGAAGCCGG